CCCGACCUCAGGUGAUCCGCCUGCCUGGCCUCCAAAGUGCUUGGAUUAUAGUCGUGAGCCACCGUGCCCGGCCUGUGGUCUAGUUUUUAAAGGUUAUUUGCCCAGAUGACUUUUUGUAUCCUUUGCAAUCUAAAUACAGUUGUCCCUUGGUAUCCACAGGCGAUUGGUUCCAGGACUCCCCAACCCCCUGGACACAUCCUUGGGUGCUCAAAUCCCUUACAUAAAAUGCAAAGUGUUUGCCUAUAACCUAUGCAUAUCCUCUUGUGUACUAAAAUCAUCUUUAGGUUACUUAUACUCCCUAAUACAGUGUAAGUGCUACAUAAAUAAUUCUUCUGGUAUACUGUUUUCAUUUACUUGUAUGAUUUUUAUUGUCAUAUUAUUUUUAUUAAAAUUUUUUUUUCGAGUAUGUUCUGUCUGUAGUUUGAAUCACCAAGAAUGCAAAGGGCCAAAAGUAUCAACAGCUCAAAGUGGAGAGCCCAGGGUCCAGGCACGGAUCAUUGUGGGGAGAAUAGGGCUGGUGGAGAAGAAACUGGACCCCCAGAGCUGGCUCUGACCGUGGGCUGGGAGCUCCUCCAGGAUGCUUGGUUAGGACCAGCAGGGCGGCCAGCACUAUGGAGAUAUGCUGCUGCUUUUGGAAGUGGGGAGAGGGGUAUGACCUUUCCUGGGAAACAAAUCAGAGUAAAACCAGAAGAAGAAUCUAGACUUUUUAGAGUAACUUGGCAAACAAAGCUCAGACAGAUGGAGGGGUGUUCAAGGAACUUUGCACAAUUUCCUGUGGGCUAAGAGAAGACACUUGUAAAUCUGAAAGGGCACCAUAGGGAGAGCUCCUGCAGGGAAGGGAGAGGGUCACCCUUCUCUCCCCAACCCCAGGCUUGGUUGAGGGUAGAAAAUGGGAGGGGGUAAAGGAGGCUGUCUGUUUCCCUCAGUGCAAAUGCCUGGAUAGCACGUGUGUGCAGGCUGUAUCCCUGAGCUGAGGAGCACCUGAUGGGUAGCUGUUGACUGACUGUCCAUGCAAGGCAUAUGGGCCAUGCUUGGCAGCCUCCAGCAGGCUGGGCUUGUUCACCUGCAUCCUGUCCAGCUAUCCUGGCUUUGGUGUUAAAAGACGGCCCUGGAUUGAAGGAGUGGCAUAAGGUCACACGUGGGUGCUUGAUGAUGAUCUAGAGCCUUGAGCCCUCAUCUGCACAGCCUCCUCCUCCAUGGCAGCAAGUCAUUGUCCUGUGGGCCCCAUUUCUAAUCUGGACGCCCAGCAGUUACCUCAGAAAGUGCUGCGGGGCUCGGGUGUCCUCUCAGAGGAUAUGAGCACUCCUGAGUCGUUCUCACUGCCUGUGUUCAUUUCACUCACUGUGUGCUUCAUUCGUUCAGCCCUGAGUAUCUGCUGAUGUUUCCCAGCUAGGAGUGCUUCCUUCAGGUAAUAGAGGGAAGCAUGAUCUGGGAAAGGGAACGUUUUCCUUUUGCCCCAUGAAGAGACGUCCUGAGACACUUCAACAACCAGGAAGGUUCCCAAGAAGACACUGGGUUGCAGUAAAAGUGUUCAGCUGCUAGUGACCGCUCAGGUGAGACUUGCGAGAGAGAAUGACAGUGACGUUGAGCAUAGCAGCCCCUCAGAAAGCAAACCAAGGCGUGGGUGCCUGACAUGCAUGAUUCCUAAUUCACACAGCCCCUGCAGAAGUGAGGCAUCCCUGUAUCCUGUUUGUACAUGAGGAAAAUGAGGCCCCUGGAAUUCAUGUAUUUUGCCCAAGGCCAUGUCACUAGGAGGCCGGAAUUAGUGAAGCUGGAAUUCAUACCUAUGGCUGUCUGAUUCCGAAGCUGGGCUCUUUCCACGGCAUGGUCCAAGCGUGCAGUCUAGAGCAAGGGCUGAUGGGGUUUGUUUGAAGGAACAUGAGAUCGUGGAGUGCCAGGCUGGCUGGUAUGGGGCCCUGGCUGGGAUGAGAUGCUGUCUUUAAGUGUCAGGGAUGGACAAAUGUCCCUGUCAGGAGAUGUUGGUCCCUGGCAGCCGGGCACAGUGGCAGCAGUCUCAGCCUGGCCUGCCCUGCACAAGCCUUCAGGCACAUGGGCCUCUUGACAGUGACAGCUGCGAUUCCAUGCCUGCACCAGUGGCGGGAGAGAUGCGGGUGAAACAAGGGGGAAAGGACUGUAAUUACCUCUUAACACAUUUCCACAUUUCUCUGCUGUCAGAAUGGUUUUGUUUUCUGAUUUAUUUUGAUCUGCUUGAAAAUUAGUUGCUGCAGUAUGUUUGGUGUGUAAUCAUUGUCCUGCUAGCUAGCAGUAAUCAUCAGCAAUGUUAGCCUGGCAAACGUGAGCUUUCUCUCCUUUGCCCAUUCAGGUCAGGCUCUAUGUGGCAAGGGCAAGGGAGAGGCAUGAUUGUGUGUCUCUGACUGUCUGUGGACCCCGACUCCUCACCAUCACCCCACAGGGCACAGUCCUGCUGGCUGUGUCUUCCCGGAAGGAUUGUGCCCCCACAGAUUGUCUAGUGAGCCUGUCAGCUGUACUGCAUCGCUCUGUGCACGUGACCUAGCUCUCUCCAGGCCCCCUGCUCCAUCCCACAUGCAGCCUCCAUUCACUGUCCUCCAGCUCUCAGCCCCCAGGCAGCCCCACCCUUGACCCACCACCUCCAUCUGCACCUGCUUGUGGAGCCUGUGUCAUGGCAGAGAGGCGACCUGACCAUUCUCAGCCCACAGCACCACUGGAUCUUUCCCCGAUCUCUGUGGGAAGAUAGCUGGUCUCAAUUGCAUGUGGCCUUUUCUCUUGUGGUUGGGCCAGGAUGAGCAGGAAGCCAUCGUUGAGGCAUGGAAGCCUAGGUGGGAGAAUAGAGCCAGCACUGUAGAGUGGGAAGGGCUCGGUGCUUCCAGGGGUAGACAUUCGGCAGCAGGCUGGAGAAAGCUGUUUGCAACGAGCACUCAAAAAACAUGAGUUUUAGAGCCAAAUGGAAAGUCAUCGAGCCCAGUUAAAGUCAUCCCUUGGUAUCUGUGGGAGAUAGAUUCCGGGACCCCUCUCAGAUACAAAGCCCAAGGAUGCCCAUGUCCUUAUAGGUAUGUAGAUUAUAUGCACAUACUACACCAUUUCAUGUGUUUUAUAUAUAUUUUAUUUUUAGUUUGUAUUUUUUAAUUGAUUUUUUUUCCCUCAUAUUUUCUACCCAAAGCUGAUGGGAUUCGUGGGUACAGAGGUCCGACUGUGUUUCAUGAUUCAGAGUAGAAAACUGCAACCUAGCACAGAGGCAAGGAUGUGCUUAAGAACUACUGUUGGUUGGCACCAGGUCUGGGAUAUGAACCCCAAUCUCUGUUGCCGUCUGUCCAAAAGUGGCUGAGCUGGUUUCAGGAUUGGAGCAGACAGCUGCCCAUGUGUUGGGAUUUGAGGAAUCUGCCGUUUCCUCCCUGGAAUUUCCACCUUUAGCAUUACCUCUGGAGUAAGUCAGGGAUUACCAAACGUCUUGUUACCAAAGAACUCUUUCUUCCCACACCACCUGACACAGAACAGAAAAGAGCAGAGAUGCUUUGGUUCAAGUGCCUGGGAAAGAACGGAUGUUUCAGAGCGGACCUGUUCAGCUUCUCCCAAUUCUCCAGUGAGCUCCCUUAGGCAUCUCACUAGAACCUUUAGAGCUCCAUGGAGUAUAGUGAGAAAUGUUUAUGGCUUCUAUUACCAGGCCAGAUGAAUAGAUGUAAACAUUAACACCUUCUGCACCUUAAUUAGCAUGGGUGUGUUUAGCAGAGUAAUUGAGAGCAGAGACUAGGUUGAUAAAAGAAUAGUUUUCCCAAUAGGAUAGUUUUUGAUUAAGGAAAUAUUUGGAGAGCUAUGGAAAUGCUUGAAACAUAGGAAGGACAAAUUCAGUGAAAGUGCUUUGGGGUGACGGAGGGCGGGGCACGGUGAGAAUCGGGGCAGCCUGGAAGCUGAAGUUGCCAAACUCUUUACCAAAGUGGUUGUGCCAUUUUGUACUCCCAUCAGCCAUAUAUGAGAGAUUUGGUUC